GAGGAACAGUUGAAAAAGCUGGGUAUGUUUAGCCUGGAAAAGAGGAGACUGAGAGGAGAUAUGAUAGCCACUUUCAAAAAUCUAAAGGGCUGUCAUACAGAGGAUGUAGCAAGCUUGUUUUCUCCUGCUCCAGAGGGUAGGACUCAAACCAAGUUAAGAGAAAGAAGAUUCCGACUAAACACCAGGAAGAACUUUCUGAUGGUAAGAACUAUUCAGUAGUGGAAAGGACUCCUUCAGGAGGUUGUGAGCUCUCCUUCCUUGGAGGUUUUCAAGCAGAGGUUGGAUGGCCAUCUGUCAUGGAUGCUUUAGCUGAGGUUCCUGCAUUGCAGGGGGUGGACUAGAUGACCCAUGGGAUCUCUUCCAACUCUACAAUUCUGUGUUUCUGUGAUUAACUCAUCUGGAAUGUUAAGCAUGCAUUGGAGGCAGUUUGUGGACAAGACUGUUAAAAAACAACAACUACUGGUAAUGACUAUCUUGACAAAACAAGACUUAAAGAAUGACAAGUUGAUUGUGCCAUAAGAUUCGAUGGACUAGAGUCCCCUUAUUAGAUGCACGAAGUGUUGUUGGGAGGUAUAGAUGAGAGAAAGUAAACAGUGGAUUUAAAUGGCAAUGGAAUGUAGAAAAUACAGUUUCCCGUAGUGGAACAGGAAAACCAUUAUUUGUCUUGAUGCCCAAACAAAUAAAAUCGAACCUUGGUAUUAGUUCUAAUUGAGCUAUUUCACUGGAAUUUUCCUUUUGAAAUAUCAUUUUUAGAAGAUGGCAGCUUUCAAAUCAGUGACAGUGUGUCCAGGGAAUGUCCCCUAGAGUUUCUGAAAUAAAUGAAUGGGAUAUUUCUAUGAGUAAGUGGAGGUUGGCUACAAGUACUACAAAGGCUGCCAUAAAUGUGCGUAAUGGGCACAUAAAUGUGAAAUGGCCCAGAGUUAACACUUACUGUGUUUUAGAGUCUAAUUUCUGUUGUAAAGUCUAUUUUCUGUCCCUGGUCAGAAUAAUGCUCUUGAAAUUAUGGGUUCAGAAAAAGGCAUAUGUAAGGCCUCCAUUGAUGCUUUUUUGGCCUGAAUAGGUUGGCAGUGUUGCAACAAGUUUAACAGGGCCUGUAUCCAGACUUAUGACUCUGUUACAGCUCUGUACUUACUGAUCACUUUCUGUUCUUCUCAAUUACUGUAAACUGUGGUUUUCUGUGAUAAUGAUCUUGGCCCUUCUUACUUAAUAAGUAGGUCAAAUUCAGAAACUGAGCUAGAAAAUAGCCGUAAAUUAAGCCCAUAUGUAUAAACUGCUGUGUUUUCAGGUGUGGAUGUAAGUCUGCACAAUGCUGAAUGUGCAAAAUAUCCUUGAUUCUGCAACAACUGGGUCAGUGGGAUAGGAUUAUAGUCUGACUGUAACCCACAAACCUCUUACUCUGGUAUAAUCCUAUGUUUGCCACCUGGCCUUUUCUAAAUUGGCACAGCUGGUAUUUUUGUGUCCCAGAUGGUAUCAUCUCUCAUCCCUCAAUUCUAUAUUUGUGGAAGCCAAGAGCUGGUUUUAAAUACAAGUGCUUGUAUAAAUGAAUGCCUGUAUAUUCAAAUGAGCAAUGGCUACUUAAUCCCAGCUAACCCUCCCACCUUCUGGACAGCAACCCUAAAUAAUCCUGAUCUGUAUUCAUAGAAUUCAACAUGACAUCUCCAGAGUAAGAAAUACUUGAAAUGUAGGGCAGAUUUAAAUAUUAGGAAGGAGACUCACUUCAAAUAUCACACCAACCAGAUUCUUAACCAUAGUUUAGAACCAAAACCAUAAUCUAAGGUAAACCAUAGCGUGAAGCUGCUUUUCCCAUCUACUUUCAUCUUUCAGAACUCUUACUUCUGUGGUUCAGAUAAUUCUGCUUUGUCAAUUCGGACACCACAACAAACCAUAGUUAGUACAUUCUCUGGUUUGUAAGCUCACCUCAUACCGUAGCUUUUGAUUUUUGCUUCUUAGCCCAUUAGAUGUCCUGGUCUGUCAGUUCAGACAUAAGUCUUAAGUAUAGUUAAGCUUCUUUAACCAUAGGGAUGCACACAUUCAGCCAUUGUGGGAGGACUGAAUGGUGCUAUAGUUGAAAUAGACCUCAGAUGAGUGUUCACUUACCACAGAUAUCAGACCUAAAAUUCUAGACUGCCUUUCCUCUAGUGUGUUUGUUGUCUUUGUUGCUUGAGUGUUUGAAGUAUUUUACUGACACGCAUUGCUUCAAAAGCCCCAUCAGUUAAUAAAUCAACAAAUCUAUCUGUAUAGGGAAUUAGUUCUGAAUGAAGAGGUUUACCUUAUGAAUGGUUUUGUGUUAGACCAGGGAUCAAUAUUGUUAAAUCUCUAUAGGUUUUCCAGCCUUAUGAUUCUUCCAGGUAUGUGAUUCUGCUACAUUAGGUGUCCUGCAUGUACAGAAAUAUAGAUUAUAUUUUUUAAAAUCGGCAAGUUUUGUAUAUGAAAAUUAGUUCCUUUGAAACAAAAAACAAAAAUACAAUUUGAAUAAAGCCUGUCAAAUUCAGGGUAUAGUCCACUAUCAGCAGACUACAUUGGCUUAGUUAUGGUACUUUUGUUUUAUAUGACUUUUCUUGCGUAUGCUUCCCCAGCAUAUUAACAUAUACUCCCUGCUGAAUCUAUUUCUCUUCCUGAUACAUAUCGUAAAGGCACUUAAUGGUUUACUGGACGCUAUGGACAUCAAGGAAUUUUUGAACAGUUCCUUUCUGCAUCUGUGGAGAAUUCCAAGAACUAUGCUUAAUAAUGAUUAUUCACUUAGGGCAUAUGUAUGUACAUUUAAGGCAAAACCAUAUAAGAUUCCAGGCAUGCCCGCAUAACACCCUAUAUGCCUGUCAUAUAUAUUUAAUAGAUAGCAUAAGAGGCCUUGUCCUUGCCUUGAGAUUGCUCCCCAGGCAAUCUCACCAGUAGCUAUGCUCACAAAUAGCACUACUGGUUUAAUUGAUGGGUUUGAUGACCCAGCUUUAUGGCUCUAGUGCUUAUGCCUCAGUGUGUGCUCAGCCAGUGCCCUUUAAUUGUGCAGUCAAUUAAUUUUAUUCUCCAAUAUGCAUGACAAAAGUCGUUGCCAUCUCAGUAGCAUUUCACAUUAAACAAUCUAAUAACAAAGAAAGCAAAACAGAAAACCCCAACUCUAAAACAGAGACACACAUUUGGUAGCCACUCGCAUCUUCCUGACUUUACUUGCUUUCCCUAAUCAUGAUUGUAAAUUGUAGCUUGGCUAGGGAGUUAAGAUAACGAUCUUUAUAUGGUGAACAGGCAAACUACAUUAAUUCAGUUAGCUUCAGAGAGAAGUUGCCAUACAACUAGCCUGCAUUUUAGAUGGGAUAGGGCAGAGCUUUCCAAACUUUUCAUGCUGGUGACACACUUUUUAGACAUUCAUCAUUUUGCGACAUAGUAAUUCAGUUUUAAUAGCAAACCGGAGGUUUAAUGAACCCUUUCCAGCCCUGGGAGGAGCGUGGGGAAUGUUCAUGCGACACACCUACACAUUGCAGCUGACACAUUAACGUGCCGCGAUACGCAGUUUGGAAAGCUCUGGAAUAGGGCAUGACAAAUAUGGAAGUUAUAUGUAAGUCAGAUUUCCUCUUCCCUUCUUUUAUAUCUUUUCAUCUUCACUUACUCUCCUUUGCAUUGAUAUGGAUAUAUUGUCUACAACAAGCAGGGACAUGUACUGUAUCCCUCACCACCUAAUGAAGCACCUGUGUUGUGCAUGUCAACUCUAGUGAUCAUUUGUGCAUUGCACAAUUGUUUGAAGACUUGAUUUCUGUUAUUCUUUUUUUUCUUUUUAUUGAUUCUAUAUGUAGCUUAUAAUUGAUUUUAAAAGUGAUAUUGGGAAAGGGGAGGUGUCCCUAAUUCACAACAUCCUACUUUCCUGAUCCACCAUGCUGUGAGUCUGUCAUGACCCAGAAACAGAGUCCAAGAUGCAGCUAUGAAGAUGAAGGGGAUGGACUAUGGAAAUAAAGAAAGUGUGAUUCUCAGUAACUAGUGGCAUUGGGUGCAGCUUAAGUCCCAAUUAACUGAUAUAUUUGAGUGUACUCCUUUACUAAGUGAAUGCUUUCCACCCAGUCCUACUUCAGAAAAUAAAGGGCUAUGCUCUGUGAAAUGCUGAAAUAAGAGCAAAAGCUGAGUGACAUGGAUCCUACUGAAAGGCAUCUCUUGCAAUAUUCAAUUGAUCUUCCUCCACACUCCCCCCACCCCAUCCUAACAAAAUGAUAAUCAUUAUGAUGGUAAAUAAAUGUGACCUAGCCUUAAAGCUAAAGAUACAACUAUAUAUAUAUGUACAAUAUGUGUGUGUGUGUGAGUUCAUGUGAGUCUGUGCAUGUGCAGGCGUUUGCAUGUCUGGCUAUGAGACCUGGGCAUAAGUGAUACUGAACUCUCUGGGACUUUGUUCUGAAUGUACAUGCACAGUAUUGUGCUGCAAAUUGUUACAUGGAGAUAAUGUAUACAUAUAUGUCCAUGUGCAUAUAUUGAAUAUUCUGCUGUAGUACGUUCUUUGUUUUAAAAAGCCCUUGUCCUAUCUAUCUGUGUGUAUGUCAUCUGGUUGUAAAAAUAUUGAUGCUUAUAGUCCAUAAUGGUCUUUGGAGAAAAUCUAUUUGAUUGUACUCAGGGGCAAAAUGCAUUUUUAAAGAGCCAUAGUCUAUUUGCGUAAGAAAUAUUGGCAGAAGGCUUACAUGCGAUAGCUAGUCGCUGCUGUUUUGCAGUCAAUGUGAGUGAUAAAGAACUGAGCAAGGCUAGGGUGACGUUAGUUUCUCUUCCCCAUGAAGAUCUCCUGGAAAAGUAAUUCACAUCAAGGGGUCAGCUCCAACCAAAUAAUUUCUCCCUGAAUUGGAAUAUGUGUCGCACAAGCUCUGCUAUUCCAAAGUGGCUGUGAAGUCUUCUUGUCCUGUAUUCUUAGGAACAUAAGAUGCCCGCUGGAUGAUGCCAAAGGCCCAUCUAGUCCAGCACUCUGUUCUCAUAGUGGCCAACCAGAUUACCAAGGGAAUCCCACAAGCAGGACCUGAAUGCAACAGCAGCCUCCCCACAUGUGCUCCCCAGCAACUGGUAUUCAGAGGCAUACUGGGCCUGGCAGCAGAGCUAGAACAUCGCUAUAUCCUCCAAUGAUUUGUUUAACCCUUUUUAAAAACCAUCCUUGCCUUUCCAUUUCUUGUUUCAAACUAAAGCUCUGGGAGAUAAGUCAUGCUGGGAAGCGAAUAUUAGAAGCAAAUAUUAAUACAUGCAAACAGGACUACAUAGAGCUCUUUCCACCUUGUAGCAGGAAUCAAGGAUAGACUAGCCAAGAAGGUCUGUAUUCUGUCUUCCUUAUUAAUUCCCUCUUGCCAGCUGGUCUUUGACUGCUGUGUGGGAAAUAAGGCCUGCCACAUCUUGGCAACCAGCUAGGGUGGCCAUAUUCCCCAAAGUGAAAAACUGGACAAAGUUGUCACCCUCCAAAUCUUCCAGGACGCCAUUUUGCAGCCCGAAUCCUGGAUGUAUGGCAGCCCUACAACCAGCCCACACACAGCCUAUUCUCUCAUGGUUACUUGCGGAGUCCCUCCAGCCCUUCCAGGCUUAGAAGAAGGGAUGAAGGGAAGCAGCUGCAUAUUAGUAGGAAUGGAAGCUGGGCAGACUACUUUGCCGCAGGCAGGAAUGUAGAUAGUUAGCAGCACAUUUCAACUCUGCCGUUUCAGUUUGAGGGCCACAUUUCCACAUGGGCAACCUUCCAGGUACACUGUGAUGAACCAAAGGUGAAAUGUUCCGAAAGGCCUGCAAGCACCAUCUUGCUAGUCAAGCUAAGCGCAAACUAAUUUGUAAUUGCUGCAAGGAUGAGGUCAUAUAUGUUUAUAUUCACUUGCUUUGAUAUAUGCUGAUUGGCUUGCUUUGAUGCUGUGCUUCUCUGUAGGCCUGGCCCUGGGAUGCUGGGCUCUAGGCCCAGGAUAGCUGCCACUUAUGGCCUCACCAGCCAGGUGUGAUGUUCUGGGUAAGCUGACAUAUGCUGCUUUGUGCAUAAAGAAUAUAUUCUUGUUUACUUGUGUGUUGCAUCUGUGUUUUUAAAGGGAUUGAUUGGCAGGAUCGCAGCAUUGACACCAGGAGACCUGAAGACAUGUAUGACAAAAUUUCUGAAAUGCAUAUGACAAAAUUUGGCUCCAUUUCUUAGAUCGUUGGGUUGCAAUCUUCCCAAGAAAAUGCUUCCUGCUAUCAGCUAGUUGAAAAUGUCUAUAGCAAACUUGAGUGCUAGUGUUGCUCAUUAGUCUAGGUAAUAGAACAGGCUAGUCCAAUUAAUUAAGUAUCUUAAAAAUUGUCUAAAAAUUCGCUACUUCUUUCCUUCAAAAUCAUCUGGAUUUUAGCCCUUUAAAUAGUACAUUUAAUUGUCAUUUUUUGACCAUUCUUAACAGAACUUUAAAAAAAUAAAAUCCAAAACUUUCAUUGCAGUCAGUGGAAGAAAGAACAAGCCUGGUUCAGCAAGAUCAUUAAUUUGUCUUCUGUUGAACUUUUCCAUCAGUGUUUUUUUUCAAAAAAUUAAAGUUUUCAAUUGCUGUAUUUUUUCUGUGCUUUACUCAUUUUUUAAAAGGAUUAAUGCGCUGUAGUUUUUAGGCAUUGGGGGAGUUGGUUUUCUCUUCCCGAGGCGAGAGGGAGGCGUAGACAAUAAGUGAGCUGUAGUAGUAGCGGUUGUUGUGGGAGGACUGGCACCAUGCACAGAACGCUAGCAGCUGCUGCUGCUAUUUAUGUUCCAAAAGUUAUUUAUUUGCUUUAGGUGGUCUGUUGCACUGGGGGAGUGGGGAGUGGGGCUCCAUUAAAUGCUUCUCAGAAGCAUUUGAGCAAAUUGGCCUGUUCACACUGUACUCUGUCCAGCAUGUCCUUCAAACUAGAUUGUUCCAAAACCAGUGGAUUCAGCUGGAACUUAAACUUUAACUUAGAUUAAUGUCAGCAAAGGAAUGCAGCCUUAUUCCAAAUUGUAUGUUAGCUUGAAAUACUGUUUGGAUAAGCAUUACUGGAUGCUAAUAAUGUGAAACAAGCUGUGUUGUCCAACCCCAAAGAUGACUAGAUUGGGGCAAAAUGGAAGUACACAGAAGAAUGAGCUUGACAUAUUGCAAAACAGGCCACUGGCUCUUGAUAUGUGCAGCAUCUAAUAGAUGGGGCCUGAUGGAAAUUCCUAUGCUUCAGUUCAUUGUGCUUUAGGUUCUUUGCAUAAUGACUUGUGUGGAUGUGCAUGCAAUUAAGAUUCAGAUUUUUUUUUCUUAUUUGUUAUGUGGAGUCCAGAUGUUUUCAUUCAAGGCAGCACUUCUGUUGUGAGGAUAUCCCUGCUGCCCUGGCAAUAUAUUCAUUGCUGCUAUUGAGAUUGUUCUUGGGUGUGUUGGUGAGUGUGGGUCAUGGACAUUUACCAGAUAGUGCCAACCUGUGACUUCCUGACAGUUAGUGCCCAGCUGCUGUUUACUAUGUAUGUCCACAACAU